AGGGACCCUUGCUGUAGGAGGGCCCUCCGAGAGCCCCUGAUGAAUUUAUUUGGCUGGUAAGAAAAGAAAAACAAUUCCCGUUCUUUCUAUUUGAUAAAUCACCAGCACAGCUCCAUGAUGUCUC
rfam:Spermophilus tridecemlineatus cont1.129268, whole genome shotgun sequence.